UCUUGCAAACAAACAUCUAUGUUGAUAUAUGUUAGCCAAAAAGCUAGGGUUACAAGUGAGAUCUGCCUUGCCAUCUGCCAAUUUCCAAAUGAAAUUAAACUUAAUAGAUGAUGAGUAUAAAACAAUUUGGCACCAUAAUGAUGAGCAUUUAGGUGGCAGAGUGUGUAAAAGCCAUGAGCCAUGAAACUUGUACCUAGCCUUCACUAGUUGCACCCAA
rnacentral:lncRNA from 1 species